AGUGGGUCAGUUGUCAAACUCAACUGAAACUGACUAUACUUUUCUUCUUUUCUCAACUAUAAAGUAUAAUUUAAAGUACCUGAAGUGACUGAUCAGACUGACUUAACAUUUAACGUUGGAAUUAAAAACAAAAGCUCAUGUUCUACUCAAUUCCCAUUGCUUACUUAAUUUCUGUUUCAUUGUGUAGUUUGUACUAGAACUAACUGAUGAGACAGUUCUUACCAUUUCAGAUUAUACCUGGUUUGACGGAAUGCUUAAAGUAAUUUAAGGUUGCUUUUAAGAAUGUUUUGUUUUCCUCUCACUUCACAUAUCUUUCUUCUGCCAGUUUCAUAUCUUGAAUACACCUUAAGGUUACUUUUAAAUCCGUGUACUAUUAAUUGCAAAUUUUGCGUUUGGGUUAAAAAUUGCAAUUAUUAUUAUGCGCAAUUAUUGAUAGUGAGUUUAUGAUGAUAUAACUAGUAGUAAUAAUUACUUAAUCGCAAUCUUUAAUAACAGGAAAAUUUACCUUAAGCUAAAAUUGUAAAAUUUAGCACCUGCAAUUAAACGUCACUCUAAGAUUGAUGUUGAAUGUACUUUCGAUUUCUCAUUGCUACUGUUAUUCAGUUUUAUGGUAGAAUUUAUGAUAGGAGUGAGUUAUAAGACAAUUAUUAUUUGACACUGGGUCUUACAUGAUGCGAAAAGUACCACUAAUUUUUUAUCAUUUGUUUCUUCAUUUCUCAGUUUUAUACUUUGGUGUAUACCAGGAGCGACUGAUCACACAGUUGUUAAUGUUUGACGUUUGUUUUUAAACAAUUUCCUGUACUACUAACUUCUUACUAUAUAUCCAUUUCUUAGUUUCAGAGUAAGGUGUAUCCAGAAGUGACAGAUCAAAUUGUGUUCUGAUCAUUUAUGGUUGGUUUUAAAAUAUUUCUUGUACUUUGUGACUUAUAUUUGUUUCUUUUGCUUAUAAAUUUCAUGUAGUUUUAGUUCAUACCUGGGUUGAUUUAGUUUUAUUCUCUUAGGUUGUUCUUUAAAUAUUUUUUAAGUUCCACUUCACUCAUGUUUCUUAUUUCCCCAUUUUCAUUUGAGGUGUAUACAUAAAGUAACUCAUCAGACUGGGUGGGUUUUCAUCAUUUAUGUCCAUUUUAAUAUAAGUCUUAAUUUACUUUUGACUUAUCUUUACUUGUUUCUUCUUUGAAUUCAUGGUACCCUUUAUACUAGGAGUCUCAGACAAAAUUAAUUUCAUAAUAGUUCUAGAAAUUAUGUUUAAUGCUAGACUUACUUUUUUCUGUUUCUUCAUUUCUCAGUUUCAUAUGUUGUAUACUAUGAGUGACUGUUUACACCGAGUUCCUAUCAUUUGAAAUUUGUCUUACAAAGAUGCUUGCUCUCAUUUUGGAUCUGUUGCUUCUAUUUAUUGUAAAUACCAGGAGUCAGUUAUUCGACCGAGUUCUAGUCAUUAGAUGUUCCACUUACCUCUCAAUCUUUUUCUUCACUCAGUUUCAAGCUAUAGUUUGUACCAGGAGUAACUGAUGAGAUCUAAUUUGUAUUAAUUUUGUCAUUUUAAGAUUUGUUACUGAAAUGUUUAAUGUUCCACUCAUUAUUUGCUUUUUUAGGUCUUUAGCAUGGUUUAGACCAGGAAUGAGUGAUCUGAUUGAGUUUUUAUCAUCUGGUUUUCAUGGUACAGUUUAUACCAUGAGUGACUGAUCAGACCGAGUUUUUGCCAUUUGAGUUAGGUCUUAAAAAUGAUACUCUAUGUACUGCUGACUCAUAGUAUAGUUGAAAAUACGAUAAGUGACAGAUCAGACUGAGUGCUCAUUAUUUCAAUUUUAUGAUGUAGUUUAUACCAGGAGUGACUUUUCAGACCAAGUUCUUAUCAUUGAUGUGGGUUUUAAAAUCUUAUUAUAAUUGACAAAAGGUACGUUAUGGCGAAUAGGAAAAUUACUCUGAUAGCCUAAGAAAUCUAACUUCCAGAGCUUAAUUUAUUAUAAAAUUAGUUUAGAGUAUGCAAUGCAAACAGUAACUGUCACAUUUAGAAACAAAUCUAACAGCACUCACAGGUUGAUAUUUUUUAUUAUAAAAUUCGCCACAAGGUACCAUUUGUCAAUUAUGGUCACAAAUGAUGCUUUACUUACUGCUCACUACUUCUUUUCUAAGUUUCAUUUUAUAGUUUAUUGCUAGAGAUUGAUCACACUGCAUUGUCAUUAAGUGAUUUUGGCUUUUAAAUGAUGUAACAUGUACACUGACCUUGCACUAUUUGUUUCCUUUCAAUUACAUAGUAUCUUCAAAAUACCUAAAGUGACUUAUGCGACAGAGUUCUUAUCAUCUGAGUUUUCCCCCCGGUUCAUACCUUAGCACUACCGGAGUGAUCAUACAGUCCUUAUCAAUUUUGAUUAAUUUGUGACGUUCCACGCAUUACUAAUUUCUCAGUACUUUACUCUUUUUUCCUCACUUUCACAGCAUAGUUUUUACCAGAAUUGACUGAUCAGACAGAGUUAUUAUUACUGAAAGUUGCAAAAUAAUGUGUUAUGAACUACUACUCACCCAUUUCUUUUCUCAAUUUUAAAGUAUAAUUCAAAUUACCAGUAAUAACAGAUGAGACUAAGUUCUUAUCAUUUCAGUUUCGAAUUUAAAUUAGAGUAUAGUUUAAAAUUUUGAUGAAAAAAUUUUGUAAAUAUUGCAUUUUUUCACGAUCAAUUAAAAUCUGUGAAAAUUGAUUCAAUACCAUUCAAGAUGGCCAAUAAGUUGAAAGACAACAAAAAGUAAAGCCACGAAAUUGAUUUUUAAACAGAUCCACAAAAUUUUUGGGCCAGGAGAAUUUUCUACACUAUUGUAGCUCAUGUUCUACAUUCUCAAAUUGGUUUUUUGUUCACUGUGUGUGUAGUUUAAACUAGGACUGACCAUCUGGGUUCUUAUCACUUGAAGUAGGUUUUAAGAUGAUUUCCUGUACUUUUUUUUCUCUUCGUUGCUUCUUUCGACAGAGUCAUGCUGUAGUUCUUUUAAAAACCUUAAGUGACAAAAUUCUUCAAGUCAUUUUAGAUUUUUUCCAUAAAAUUCUUCAUUUUCCUAAUAAUUCUUUCAUUUGGGCUUUGUUCUAUGCUUUGUGUACUUAUACCAUAAUUUAGAGAUCAGACAGUUCUUGUCAUUCAACGUUGGCUUUUAAAUUGUUUCAUGUACUACUAAUUUGUCACUAUUUGUUUUUCUCCUCAAUUCAUAGCAUAGUUAAUACAAGGACUGAUCAAACUCAGUUUUUAUCAUUUGAAGUUUUAAAAUGAUGUUUCAUGAAUAACUAACUUCUUUCACUUGUUUCUUUAUUUCUGUUUUAUAGUAUGUUUACACCUGAAACUUCUAGCUAUUUGUUUCUUUCUACUUUUAAGUUUCAUAAUGUACUUUAUACCUGAACGGACUGAGUUUCAUCAUUGGCAGUUGUUUUUUAAAAGUAAUGUUCCAUGUCUCUCCAUUUGUCUUUUUCCAUUUUCAUAGUGUCUUGUAUAUCUAAAGUAACUCAACACACUGGGUUUUUAUCAUUUGAAGUAGAGUUUAUACCAAGAGUCAUGAAUCAUUUGUUUCUUAGGUAGAGUUUAUACCAAGAGUCAUGAAUCAAACUUAUUUGAGUUUCAUAACAUGUAUGCUGUAAGUGGCUGGUUAGACUUAAUUCUUAUGAUUUGAGUAUACACCACAAGUAACUGAUUGGACAGAGUUAAAUUCUUUGUGUUUUAUAGUAUAGUUUAUACCUGGAGUGAUUCAUAACAUACAAUUCGUUAUAAUUUUAUAUUAGAGGUUUAUAGUAUGGUUCAACUUGGAGACUAAUCUGACUGAAUUCUUAUUAUGUGAUGUUACUUCUUAAGGAUACUCCAUUUUCACUGACUUUUAACUAUUUUUUUCUCAAUUUCAUAGUAUAGUAUGUACCAGUCCUGACUGACAUGACUACAUGUUCAUAUUAUGUGGUUGUCUUAAAUUGAUGUCUCAUGUACCACUUACAUGUAUUUAAUUCAUCAUUUCACAGUUUCUUGGUACAGUUGAUUGCGGUCUAACAAUAAUGUUUUACGUACUACUGGCUUUUUUCAAUGUUUCUUCUUUCUCAGUUGCAUAGCAUCAAUUACAGUUUCAGAAGAAACUGAUCAGACUAAAUUCUUAUUAUUUGACUUUGGUGUUGCAAUGAUGUUUAUGAACUACUGACUUUUCACUCUGCUUCUUGUUUUCUCAGUUUCAUACCAUAGGUUAUACCAAAAGUGACUAAACAGACUGAGUUCUUAUCAUUUGAGUACCAGGAGUAACUGAUCCGUCUGAGUUCUGAUCAUUUGCAAUUAGUUUUAAAAAUUAAUGAUGUGUCAACUUAAAUUCUCAUUUUCAUUUGUUUCACAGUAUGAUGUGCACCAAAAUUUCAUGUUGUGGUAUAUACCAUGAGUGACUGAUGACACUGUUCCUGUCAUUUGAGGCUGCUUUUAUAAUGACGUUAAUAUACAACUCACUUUUGAUUUGUUGCUCCUUUCAUAGUAUUCUUCAUUUUCAAGAUAAUUUAUUCAUUGAGUUUUAACUAAAAUAACCUAAGGAAAUGAAUCAGAACAUUGUUGCAAUGAUGAGUACCACGCCCAAUGGACCUUGUGCGUUGAACCUUCUAAUUAACGCGCAUCUCUCAACUGGAGUAAGAUGGUGGAUCUUUUGGUGAACAGGCAGGCUGAACAUUUUCCUUUUCUAUCAAGUCACCAUUAUCUUAGGAACCACUUUUAUUUCUUUUUGUUUCAUGACACUAUUUCUCCUGUAUGCUCUUUGGUUGUUGUUUAGGCUUUUUAAGCAGUUUUUAUAGGCCUAAUAACACGAUGUCCAGAAAUCUACAGUGCUGUACGGACCAGACUUAAAAAAUAAUGAUAUUCAUAGUUCAAUUAAUUAUUGUAAUUAUACUGAUUAUCAAUAAUUAAGUGUUGUCACAGUAACAAACAAUGGCGCAUUAAUGUAAACAAAAUAAAACUCCUGGAUUCUACAAGGAGUUUCAUGAAAAUGAAAAAAUAGUGGAUGAUGUAGGAUUUGUGACAAGUAAUGGUGUUCAAGAUAGUGUUUAUGAGGUGGAGAGGUUGGUUGAGAAAAGAAUUAAGGAGGGUCAUACAUGGUACUUGGUUCUGUGGAAGGGAUACUCUAAAGAAGAAUCAUUAUCGGUACCAUCUUAUUAUGUCUCUUGC
rnacentral:lncRNA from 1 species